rfam:Enterococcus sp. 9E7_DIV0242 scaffold00009, whole genome shotgun sequence.
UUUUAUGAGAGUUUGAUCCUGGCUCAGGACGAACGCUGGCGGCGUGCCUAAUACAUGCAAGUCGAACGCUUCUUUUCCACCGAGUGCUUGCACUCACCGGAAAAGAGGAGUGGCGGACGGGUGAGUAACACGUGGGUAACCUGCCCAUCAGAAGGGGAUAACACUUGGAAACAGGUGCUAAUACCGUAUAACAAUCGGAACCGCAUGGUUCUGAUUUGAAAGGCGCUUUCGGGUGUCGCUGAUGGAUGGACCCGCGGUGCAUUAGCUAGUUGGUGAGGUAACGGCUCACCAAGGCAACGAUGCAUAGCCGACCUGAGAGGGUGAUCGGCCACACUGGGACUGAGACACGGCCCAGACUCCUACGGGAGGCAGCAGUAGGGAAUCUUCGGCAAUGGACGAAAGUCUGACCGAGCAACGCCGCGUGAGUGAAGAAGGUUUUCGGAUCGUAAAACUCUGUUGUUAGAGAAGAACAAGGAUGAGAGUAACUGUUCAUCCCUUGACGGUAUCUAACCAGAAAGCCACGGCUAACUACGUGCCAGCAGCCGCGGUAAUACGUAGGUGGCAAGCGUUGUCCGGAUUUAUUGGGCGUAAAGCGAGCGCAGGCGGUUUCUUAAGUCUGAUGUGAAAGCCCCCGGCUCAACCGGGGAGGGUCAUUGGAAACUGGGAGACUUGAGUGCAGAAGAGGAGAGUGGAAUUCCAUGUGUAGCGGUGAAAUGCGUAGAUAUAUGGAGGAACACCAGUGGCGAAGGCGGCUCUCUGGUCUGUAACUGACGCUGAGGCUCGAAAGCGUGGGGAGCAAACAGGAUUAGAUACCCUGGUAGUCCACGCCGUAAACGAUGAGUGCUAAGUGUUGGAGGGUUUCCGCCCUUCAGUGCUGCAGCAAACGCAUUAAGCACUCCGCCUGGGGAGUACGACCGCAAGGUUGAAACUCAAAGGAAUUGACGGGGGCCCGCACAAGCGGUGGAGCAUGUGGUUUAAUUCGAAGCAACGCGAAGAACCUUACCAGGUCUUGACAUCCUUUGACCACUCUAGAGAUAGAGCUUUCCCUUCGGGGACAAAGUGACAGGUGGUGCAUGGUUGUCGUCAGCUCGUGUCGUGAGAUGUUGGGUUAAGUCCCGCAACGAGCGCAACCCUUAUUGUUAGUUGCCAUCAUUCAGUUGGGCACUCUAGCGAGACUGCCGGUGACAAACCGGAGGAAGGUGGGGAUGACGUCAAAUCAUCAUGCCCCUUAUGACCUGGGCUACACACGUGCUACAAUGGGAAGUACAACGAGUCGCGAAGUCGCGAGGCUAAGCAAAUCUCUUAAAGCUUCUCUCAGUUCGGAUUGUAGGCUGCAACUCGCCUACAUGAAGCCGGAAUCGCUAGUAAUCGCGGAUCAGCACGCCGCGGUGAAUACGUUCCCGGGCCUUGUACACACCGCCCGUCACACCACGAGAGUUUGUAACACCCGAAGUCGGUGAGGUAACCUUUUGGAGCCAGCCGCCUAAGGUGGGAUAGAUGAUUGGGGUGAAGUCGUAACAAGGUAGCCGUAUCGGAAGGUGCGGCUGGAUCACCUCCUUU